UCUUGAAUAACCACAGGGAACAGCUGUUACUGUCACUCUGGGCUGCCUCCAGACCACUGUGACAUGCAGGCCUUGUCCCUCCAAGCCAUCCGCAAGUAGAAUCCAGCAAGGGAGAAGCAGUUUGUGGCCUGCAUGGUCUCUGCCUUUGGCUGGUCCUGGAGAGACCCUGCUCCCAUCCCAGGUGAGAAGCUGAAGCGGAAAGGAGCACUGUGAAGAAAAUGGAAACUGGCAAAAAGCUUUAACUUCAAAUAACCUUAGUUGUCAUUACUUUCAUGCCAUUGGUCCACUGCACAGUUCAGAAACACAGUCUCCUCUAUAAGUAAGAGGAAGAAACAAUUUUCUACCAUAUGAAACAACUGCUAGUGCAAAGGGUCAACAAGCACUACAACUGCCUGUAUGGAUCUGGAGCGCUGAAGGGUGUAAAGAAGACUCAAGUGUAGAAUGGGAUCCUGACUGCCAUUAACUCGUCAUGUAAGAGAUAUAUGGAAUCACUCAAGCAGAAGGAGAGAUCUCUGACAACUCACUCAAAGGAAGAUGAAAGAAUGCUACCAUAUUGAACAGGCAUCUGUAGUGAAGACACCUCAUACUUGUUCUUACUCCAACAUAGAGAAAGUAUUUGCAUGAAAUGUUUAGAGUUGAAGAAUGUCAUACACACACAGUUAAAAAAAGACGUUAUAGAAAUAAUAGGGAAUACAGUUUCUUUUGAUUCUCUUAAAAAACAUAAUGUGCCACUUUUCCUUGAAUAAAUAGAUCCCAUGACCUCAACAUUAGUUAGACUCUUAUUAAAGGAAAUAAGACAAAUAUAGAUGUAAUAUUAUUUUAUCUGCAGACAAAUGGGAAGUGUUUAUAGGUGGACAUGGUAUCAAACAAAAUCUUGAUUUAUUUUUGACGAGGAUAAAUAAUCUGAAAUAAGACACCAAUUGCAAAAUUGUUACUCUCCUAUUAAGUAUUUGUCACUAUGCAAUUCAAUUUACCAAUAAGGAACACUCUAGUGGGUGAAAAAAGUGUUAAUAAGAGGCUAUCCUUAAUAGUCAUCUAACAGGGCAGUUUCUCUCUUUACAUCACUUGCAAUAGCCAGAAAGAGCACAGAACUUCCACAGAGGUGAAGAUCAGAUCAAAUUCCACCAAUACAUUCAGUACUCAACUCUGCAAGGUGUCAGUUUUGUAAAUUCUUGAAGCCAGAACCUAAUUUAUGCCAGUGAAAUUUAAUUUUCUUUUGACAGAUAGCUUUCCUCUUGAAACCACUAGUUUAUAGAAUGUGCUUGGGGAACCUCAAGAUACCGCUGCCCAGAAAAAGAAAAUGUCAUUUAGCCUCUGUGACAGCAUAGCUACUGACAUCAAUAACCAAGAGAAAAAAAUCAAAUGCAAAAUUAAAGGCAGCAUCACAAUCAACAAGCAAUUGAGAGAAAGUGAGUCAACAGUGAAACAGAACCCUCCCCAUAAUUUUAUACCCAGAGUUCCUUCCCCUUUUUUCUAGCAGUCAUGACAUUUACUCCAUAGACAAGUCUUCUCUCACCUAUCAAAGCACAUGAAGGAAGAAAAAAAUCCAUUUGCAGGUGGACUUUAUAAGGUAUAUUUAAUACGUAGGGUCAGGGGGAAACAUACAAGUGCCAUAUGUAGGGAACAGAGUGGAUUAAGGGAUUAGGAAUGGGAGCAUGAAGCCUUUCAUGUUGAGGUCACUGCUCUGAAUCUAGCUCAUGUCAGCAGAGACAAAAAAAUUCUAACCACCAGGCAGCUUAUUCAGUGGCCUGCUAUAUGGAAUGGUUUGGGUGUCUUGCUUCAGUUUCCUGCAGAUAUAGGAAAGGAACCUGUAAUAAAAUCCAAAAUAGUUGCAACCUCAAUGGAGAAGGUACGGAUUAAUGGAACCAGGGACUAAACCACAUUCUCAGCUCUAAAAAUUCAGGAUUGAGCCAAAUUUGCAAGAAGUGAUGUGGUGCAAGGAAAUUAGCAGAGCAGACCUUUCAGCAUAUAAAACAAGAGGUCUGAAAGUUUCCAGUAUAAUUAGUCUGGUACAUUUCAUGAACACUAGAUUUCUUUCAAUAAAGUUUAAAAGGAAAUUAACUUUAUGUGACACUGCUGAGAGAAGGUUCAGAUUUCCAAAUGAUCAGUCACAUGACCGCUGGCUUCUCACGUGCUUCAAAUUACAUAUGCAUUUACAUACCUUACUGUAUCAAGGCCAUUAAUGACAUGGAGAAUUUCAGAGGUGCAAAUGGGAGUUAGCAUCUCGCUCCCUUUGAAUUUCAGUCAGCUAGGUUUGUAAGAUCUCUUUGCGGCUAAAAAUCUCCCCCAAAGAUUUUAUUAAUUUGCAUGAGGGUUUCUUUUUUAAUUAACAGUCUCAUUUAAAAAUAAGGUUUUUUUCUGAAUUAUUUUCCCUCCUUCCCAGCCAGUGGGGCCUUUUCUUCUCCCAUCCCCACAAUCUCCCUGGCUGUCAGGGGCCUUUUCUUUCCCCCCAUUCUAGCACUGCAGCCAAGGGCCUGGGGGAGGGGUUCAGAGUAGGGGAUUACUUAUUUGGUCUGGUGACAGACAAGAUGGCAAGCCUCAGCCCCAGCUUGCCACUCUGCAAUAUAGCUCUCCCCUGCACUCAUUGCCCCCAGUGGUCACUCUGCAGUAUUGCAUCUCUCCAAACA